GAUGAACGCUGACAGAAUGCUUAACACAUGCAAGUCUUUGGCGAAGCUGUGCUCGCACAGCCUAGCCAAGGCGGACGGGUGAGUAACGCGUAAGGAACUUGCCCUGCAGUCAGGGAUAACAGACGGAAACGACUGAUAAGACCUGGUAAAGUCAGGCGGACUCAUGUCCAGCCUGAUGAAAAGAGAUGCUGCAGGAGAGCCUUGCGUCCUAUUAGCUUGUUGGUGGGUAACGGCCCACCAAGGCGAUGAUAGGUAGCCGGCCUGAGAGGGUGGACGGCCACAAGGGGACUGAGAUACGGCCCUUACUCCUACGGGAGGCAGCAGUGGGGAAUAUUGGACAAUGGGGGCAACCCUGAUCCAGCAAUUCUGUGUGCACGAUGAAGGUUUUCGGAUUGUAAAGUGCUUUCAGCAGGGAAGAAAAAAAUGACGGUACCUGCAGAAGAAGCGACGGCUAAAUACGUG
rnacentral:rRNA from 1 species